rnacentral:misc_RNA from 1 species
AACUUUCGACAACGGAUCUCUUGGUUCUGGCAUCGAUGAAGAACGCAGCGAAAUGCGAUAAGUAAUGUGAAUUGCAGAAUAUUUAAGUGAAUCAUCGAAUCUUUGAACGCACAUUGCGCCUUAUGGUAUUCCGUAGGGCAUGCCUGUUCGAGCGUCAUUAACACCACUCAAGCCUGGCUUGGUAUUGGGCCCUACCGUUCUGGUAAGCCCUAAAAUCAGUGGCGGCGUCUUCGGGCCCUCAGCGUAGUAAUUUUCCUCGCUUUUGGGUUCUGGUGAUCUGCUUGCCAUCAACCACACAAUUUCUUAGGUUUGACCUCGGAUCAGGUAGGGAUACCCGCUGAACUUAAGCAUAUCAAUAAGCGGAGGCU